UAAUUGGCUUUCUCGAAGACCAUAUUCUCAUGUCAUCCUACAUUUAUGUGGUUCAAAAUAAAGCCAAAAGCAAUUUUUGUAACGACGGUCUCUGAAUAUCUUGAUUUUGUGAUAAUUCAGUAACUUUUACGUGCAAUUACAAAA